rnacentral:rRNA from 1 species
GAUGAACGCUGGCGGCGUGCUUAACGCAUGCAAGUCGAACGAACCUUCGGGUUAGUGGCGGACGGGUGAGUAACGCGUGAGAACCUGCCCUCAGGAGGGGGAUAACGGCUGGAAACGGCCGCUAAUACCCCAUAUGCCGCGAGGUGAAACGAAUUUCGCCUGAGGAUGAGCUCGCGUCUGAUUAGCUAGUUGGUGGGGUAAAGGCCUACCAAGGCAUCGAUCAGUAGCUGGUCUGAGAGGAUGAUCAGCCACACUGGGACUGAGACACGGCCCAGACUCCUACGGGAGGCAGCAGUGGGGAAUUUUCCGCAAUGGGCGCAAGCCUGACGGAGCAACGCCGCGUGAGGGAUGAAGGCCUCUGGGCUGUAAACCUCUUUUAUCAAGGAAGAAGAUCUGACGGUACUUGAUGAAUAAGCCACGGCUAAUUCCGUGCCAGCAGCCGCGGUAA